CCAGCUGCCGGUCCUGGAACACCCAGAACUGGGGCCCUGCAGGGUGGAGGCCGGGAGGUCAGGGGUGGGCUCCCCGCGCCGGCCCCAGCGCGCCCCGCCGCCGGCCCCACUCACCGCUAAAGAGGAGGAUUCGGCCGUCUCGGUGCCGAGCAUAGGCGGCCUGCACCACCCUCACCUGGGCGGGCAGCCCCUCCCAGAAGCGGUGCAGCCGUGCGGGUCGCGGGGACACCAGCUGUCCGGAGGGCUGGAGGCGCCAGAACCAGGGGCCUGCAGGGGACAAAGGGGUUCGCAGGAAGGCAUGAGACAGCAGGAGGUCUCCUCCCCCAGGGUGUGUGGCUGGGUGGGGAGGGGUCCCAUCUGGAAAUCAAGGGCGCAAUGGAUCUAGGGUGACCAGCCCAUCCUGGCCCGCCUGAGACUUUUCCCUUUUUAGCGCUAAAAGUGCCAGGGCCUUGCCUGGUGGCUCAGACCUGUAAUGCCAGCACAUUGGGAGGCUGACACCGGAGAAUCACCUGAGCCAGGAGAUUGAGCCCAGCCUGGGCAAUAUAGUGAGACUCCAUCUCUACAAAAUAAUAAAAUAAAUUACUAGCAAGGCGUGGUGGCAUGUGCCUGUGGUCCCAGCUACCAGGGAGGCUGAGGUGGGAGGAUCGCUUGAGCCCAGUAUUUUGAGGCUGCAGUGAGCCAUGAUCACACCACUGCACUGCGGCCCAGGCAACAAAGCAAGACCCUGUCUCAAAGAAGAAAAAAGUUCCGCUUCCAGGGUAAGCCCACAGCCCCAGUGGGUCACUGGAAGUGGGCAGGAAACCAACAUAUAUGAGGCCAAGUGAAAUGACUCACCUUUGAAGAAGAAAGUUUCCCCUCGGAUGUUGGCGAUGGCGUCAAAAUUGCCCUCACAUCGAUCAGGGAUGGGGAAGGAUGGGCUGGGGAGGAAAGGAGAGAGUUGCUGCAGGCCAUCGCGGUCAUCCUGAGACAGGCGGUACUUGUCAGGGUCGCCCACCGGACCC
rnacentral:lncRNA from 1 species